AUGAAAAAACUCCCAAUUUUCACGAAAAAACUCCCAAUUUUCAUGACCCCCCCCUAUUUUCACGAAAAAUCUCCCUAUUUUCACAAAACCCCUCCCAAUUUCCACACUUUGCCCCCCAGGAAGCCCCGAGGGUGCGGGGCUGUGCUCCUUGGGUGCCCCGUGCCUCGAUUUCCCCCCGGGGUGCACCGGGGGGGGGGGCGCGUGGUGGUCCCCCCCGGGCAGCCCCCAAAAUCCGGCUGGCACCGUGCCCUGGACCCCUCCAGGAGAAUCCCCCCCUGUGGGGUCUCUGGGGGCUGCGAGCUCAUAGAGAUACCCCAAAAAUGGGGAAAAAAGGGCUGGAAAGUGGUUUUAUCCCCUUGUUUGUUUUUUUUUUUUAUUCCUCGGGGUUUUAUUCCUUGGGGUCUUAUCUCCUUGGGGUUUUAUCCCCCUAGGGUUUUAUUUCUUGGGGUUUUAUCCCCCCAGGUUUUUAUUCCUCGGGGUUUUGCCCCCAGGGGUUUUAUUCCUCGGGGGUUUAUCCCCCCAAGUUUAUUCCUUGGGGUUUUUAUUCCUUGGGGUCUUAUCCCUCCAGGGUUUUAUUCCUUGGGGUUUUAUCCCCUGGGCUUUUAUUCCUUGGGGUCUUAUCCCCCUGGGGUUUUGUCCCCCAGGGGUCUUACUCCUCUGGGGUUUAUUCCUCAUGGGGUUUAUCCCCUGGGGAUUUUAUUCCUCAUGGGUUUAUUCCCUGGGGUUUUAUUCCUUGGGGUUUUAUUCCUUGGGGUUUUAUCCCCCAGGGAUCUUAUUCCUCUGGGGUUUAUUCCUCAUGGGUUUUAUUCCCCGGGGAUUUUAUUCCUCGGGGUUUUAUUCCUUGGAGUUUUAUCCCCCAGGGGUUUUAUUCCUCUGGGUUUUAUUCCUCGUGGGUUUAUUCCUUGGGGUCUUAUCUCCCUGGGGUUUUAUUCCUUGGGGUUUUGUCCCCCAGGGAUUUUAUUCCUCGGGGGUUUAUCCUCUGGGGUUUUUAUUCCUCAUGGGUUUAUUCCCUGGGGUUUUAUUCCUUGGGGUUUUAUCCCCCCAGGUUUAUUCCUCGUGGGUUUAUUCCCUGGGGGUUUAUCCCCCGGGGAUUUUAUUCCUUGGGGGUUUAUUCCUUGGGGUUUUAUUCCCUGGGAUUUUAUUCCUUGGGGUUUUAUCCCCUGGUGUUUUAUCCCCCGUGUCUCCCGAGGGACCCAGCCCCAUUUUGGGGUCCGUCAGCACAGGAGGU
rnacentral:lncRNA from 1 species